UGAAAACGUUUAAACAUUGCGGUAUAUAUAAGAAGCACAAUAUUGCUAUGAGAAUCAAUCAGGUAGCAAUAUGAAUCAAUUGGUGAGACUUUUUGUCUUCCUUUUCGCUAUUAUUCUCAUGUCAGAUUACUUCAUUACGCUGGCUGACGCUAAGUGCGUCUGUAAAAAUGGGCGCCCGGCUCCUGGUUAUAUACACCCGAUUUGUAUAAGAGUCUGUAUGAUCCAAGGAUAAAUAUAUAUGACGAUAUGGCACAUCACUGUUAUAAAUUUUUCUUGUGUGAUUGGGCAGUAUUAGAAAAUAGAGCAUAUUUAAAGCAUACUAAAUUCGUUCAAAUAUUCAUUUCCCUGAGCCUGCAAUAAGAAAAUGCAAUAUAUAACAAUGGA
rnacentral:lncRNA from 1 species